rnacentral:rRNA from 1 species
AAGACCUCGCACUUUUGGAGCGGCCGAUGUCUGAUUAGCUAGUUGGUGGGGUAAUGGCCUACCAAAGCUUCGAUCAGUAGCUGGUCUGAGAGGACGACCAGCCACACUGGGACUGAGACACGGUCCAGACUCCUACGGGAGGCAGCAGUGGGGAAUUUUGGACAAUGGGCGCAAGCCUGAUCCAGCCAUGCCGCGUGAGUGAAGAAGGCCUUCGGGUUGUAAAGCUCUUUCAGUCGGGAAGAAAAGGUUGCGACUAAUAAUCGCAAUUCAUGACGGUACCGAAAGAAGAAGCACCGGCUAACUACGUGCCAGCAGCCGCGGUAAUACGUAGGGUGCGAGCGUUAAUCGGAAUUACUGGGCGUAAGGGGUGCGCAGGCGGUUUUGUAAGUCAGAUGUGAAAUCCCCGGGCUUAACCUGGGAACU